UACGGGGGGGGCAAGCGUUGUUCGGAAUUACUGGGCGUAAAGGGCUCGUAGGCGGCCAACUAAGUCAGACGUGAAAUCCCUCGGCUUAACCGGGGAACUGCGUCUGAUACUGGAUGGCUUGAGGUUGGGAGAGGGAUGCGGAAUUCCAGGUGUAGCGGUGAAAUGCGUAGAUAUCUGGAGGAACACCGGUGGCGAAGGCAGCUCGCUGGGACGGUACUGACGCUGAGACGCGAAAGCGUGGGGAGCAAACAGG
rnacentral:rRNA from 1 species